rnacentral:rRNA from 1 species
UACGUACCGUACGAACGUUAUUCGGAAUUACUGGGCUUAAAGGGUUUGUAGGCGGCCUUGUAAGUCAGGUGUGAAAUCCCUCGGCUCAACCGAGGAAUAGCGCUUGAUACUGCAAGGCUUGAGGGAGACAGGGGUAAGCGGAACUGAUGGUGGAGCGGUGAAAUGCGUUGAUAUCAUCAGGAACACCGGUGGCGAAAGCGGCUUACUGGGUCUCUUCGUGACGCUGAGGAACGAAAGCUAGGGUAGCGAACGGG